rnacentral:rRNA from 1 species
UCCGGGGUUGAUCCUGCCGGAGGUUACUGCUAUCGGGGUCCGACUAAGCCAUGCGAGUUGAGAGGGGUAAGCCCUCGGCAUACUGCUCAGUAACACGCGGAUAACCUGCCCUUGGGUCUGGGAUAACCCCGGGAAACUGGGACUAAUACCGGAUAGAUCAGAGAUACUGGAAUGUUCUCUGGUUCAAAACUCCGGUGCCCAAGGAUGGGUCUGCGGCCUAUCAGGUAGUAGUGGGUGUAACGUACCUACUAGCCAGCGACGGGUAAGGGUUGUGAGAGCAAGAUCCCUGAGAUGGAUUCUGAGACAUGAAUCCAGGCCCUACGGGGUGCAGCAGGCGCGAAAACUUUACACUGCGGGAAACCGCGAUAAGGGGACCCCGAGUGCCAGCACCUAGUGCUGGCUGUCCAGCUGUCUAAAUAACAGCUGUUAGCAAGGGCCGGGCAAGACCGGUGCCAGCCGCCGCGGUAACACCGGCGGCCCGAGUGGUAACCGUUUUUAUUGGGUUUAAAGGGUCCGUAGCCGGCUUAUUAAGUCUCUUGGGAAAUCUGGCGGCUCAAUCGUCAGGCGUCCAAGAGAUACUGGUAGGCUUGGGACCGGGAGAGGUGGGAGGUACUCCAGGGGUAGGGGUGAAAUCUCGUAAUCCUUGGGGGACCACCGAUGGCGAAGGCAUCCCACCAGAACGGGUCCGACGGUGAGGGACGAAAGCUGGGGGCACGAACCGGAUUAGAUACCCGGGUAGUCCCAGCUGUAAACGAUGCUCGCUAGGUGUCAGGUGCGGUGCGACCGCAUCUGGUGCCGCAGUGAAAACUUGAAGCGAGUCACCUGGGAAGUACGGUCGCAAGGCUGAAACUUAAAGGAAUUGGCGGGGGAGCACUACAACGGGUGGAGCCUGCGGUUCAAUUGGAUUCAACGCCGGG